rnacentral:tRNA from 1 species
GCCCCUGUAGCUCAGUGGAUAGAGCAGUGGCCUCCGAAGCCAUGUGCGGGUGUUCGAUUCACCCCAGGGGCGCCA